rnacentral:rRNA from 1 species
AACCUGGUUGAUCCUGCCAGUAGUCAUAUGCUUGUCUCAAAGACUAAGCCAUGCAUGUCUAAGUAUAAAUGUUAUAUAGUGAAACUGCGAAUGGCUCAUUAAAACAGUUAUAGUUUAUUUGAUAAUCGAAUUUACAUGGAUAACCGUGGUAAUUCUAGAGCUAAUACAUGCUGGUUAGCCUGACUUUUUGGAAGGGCUGUAUUUAUUAGAUAACAAACCAAUUGCUCUCGGGCAACUGUGUUGACUCAUAAUAACUGAUCGAAUCGCAUGGACUUUGUCCGCGAUAAAUCAUUCAAGUUUCUGCCCCAUCAGCUUUCGAUGGUAGUGUAUUGGACUACCAUGGCUUUAACGGGUAACGGAGGAUUAGGGUUCGAUUCCGGAGAGGGAGCCUGAGAAACGGCUACCACAUCUAAGGAAGGCAGCAGGCGCGUAAAUUACCCAAUCCUGACUCAGGGAGGUAGUGACAAGAAAUAACGGACCGAAGCCUACGUUUCGGGAUUGCAAUGAGUAGAAUUUAAACCCCUUUACGAGUAACAAUUGGAGGGCAAGUCUGGUGCCAGCAGCCGCGGUAAUUCCAGCUCCAAUAGCGUAUAUUAAAGUUGUUGCAGUUAAAAAGCUCGUAGUUGGACCUUGGGCGUGGGCGCCGGGUUGGCCGCAAGGCCCGACUCGGAACUCACGCCUCUUUGGGGGACUCGUCGUUCUGCGGCGAGGCAACCCGGGUUACUGUGAAGAAAUUAGAGUGUUUAAAGCACGCGUUUGCUUGAAUACAUCAGCAUGGAAUAACAAGAUAGGACUUUGCUCCACUUGUUGGUUUGGGAACAAUAGUAAUGAUUAAUAGGACCAGUUGGGGGCAUUAGUAUUCAGUAGUCAGGGUGAAAUUCUUGGAUUUACUGAAGACUAACUAGUGCGAAAGCAUUUGCCAAGGAUGUUUUCAUUAAUCAGACGAAAGUUAGGAUCGAAGACGAUCAGAUACCGUCGUAGUCUACUAUAAACGAUGCCGACUCGGGAUGCAGAGUCGUCUCGACUCUGUCAGCACGUGUGAAGAAUCAAGGUUUUGGUUCUGGGGGGAGUUGUCCGCAAGCUGAACCUAAGAUGGACGAGCACCACAGAGUGACUGCGCUAUUGACCACUGGACUCCAGUCCGACUAGAGAUUGACGGAUGAAGCCUCUUCUGGAUCUCUG